rnacentral:rRNA from 1 species
GGCUCAGAACGAACGCUGGCGGCGUGCUUAACACAUGCAAGUCGCACGAGAAAGUCCUUCGGGAUGAGUAGAGUGGCGCACGGGUGAGUAAUGCAUAGGAACGUGCCUCUAAGAGGGGGAUAACUACGGGAAACUGUAGCUAAUACCGCAUAACAUCGAGAGAUAAAAGGUGGCCUCUGCUUGCAAGCUACUACUUAGAGAUCGGCCUAUGUCCCAUUAGCUAGUUGGCGGGGUAAAAGCCCACCAAGGCGACGAUGGGUAGCUGGUCUGAGAGGAUGAUCAGCCACACUGGAACUGAGACACGGUCCAGACUCCUACGGGAGGCAGCAGUGGGGAAUUUUGCACAAUGGGGGAAACCCUGAUGCAGCAACGCCGCGUGAGUGAAGAAGGCCUUUGGGUUGUAAAGCUCUUUCGGUUGGGAAGAAGGGUGUAUUGGCUAAUAUCCAGUAUAUUUGACGGUACCAAAAGAAGAAGCACCUGCUAACUUCGUGCCAGCAGCAGCGGUAAUACGAAGGGUGCAAGCGUUGUUCGGAAUUACUGGGCGUAAAGGGCGCGUAGGCUGGUUUGUAAGUCUCAUGUGAAAUCCCCGGGCUUAACCUGGGACGUGCAUUAGAAACUGCAGAUCUUGAAUGCUUGAGAGGGUGGUGGAAUUCCUAGUGUAGAAGUGAAAUUCGUAGAUAUUAGGAGGAACACCUGAGGCGAAGGCGGCCACCUGGCAAGACAUUGACGCUGAGGCGCGAAAGUGCGGGGAGCAAACAGGAUUAGAUACCCUGGUAGUCCGCACCAUAAACGAUGGAUACUAGAUGUUUGGAGAAUUAACCCUCCGAGUAUCAAAGCUCACGCAUUAAGUAUCCCGCCUGGG